GGCCCCAUAGACUAGGGGUUUAGGUCGGCGGUCUCUCAAGCCGCAAGCACGGGUUCGAAUCCCGUUGGGGCCA
rnacentral:tRNA from 1 species